UUAAGCAAGAAGUACUCCAUUUUUGCACCUUGACUAUGAAACUCGAUUUGGAUGCAGAACUUACAAAAGUUGCUGCAUGGCUUUCUCUUCCAGGACUGGACCCUGAUAGCUUUUCUCUAUUGAUAACAAGUGAAAAAUACCAUUGGCUUUUGUAAUAAGGGCUGCUUGUAAAGUACCUUGUCUCAAGAAUUGUGUUUCUUCGAUUGAUCUCUUGUAGAUUCUCUUCAGUCAGCCCGACAUUCUUGGAAGACAUACUACCUUUUAUUUUGAUAAAGUUAGGCCAGGCCGUGGCUAGGGAGCUAGCCGAGCGCACGGACUUGUUCACAUCAGAGGGGGAUAGUGAGCGUCAACUGUUAGAGAUACCAAGAGUGGAAUUGGAAAGUGGGAUCGAAGGGCUCGGCAUUGAAGAACCAAAUAUCAUCGGUUUGUUCUUGAUCUUCCUAUAACAGGAGAAUAAAAUUUCAGAUAUAUGUGUAACGUCACGUCAAGAGAUUGUUCUUGCGGACGAUUACUAAGAUGGGAAUAUGAAAACAUUUGACGUUGUGUACAAUGAUUUUGCAAUUUCUU
rnacentral:lncRNA from 1 species